UAUAUAUAUACGUAUUUCCCUUUUGCUUAAUUAUCCAUGAAGAAAUCACGACCAUAUCGGUCGAUUUUCCCUUUCUCUUCUCAUAUAUUCAUUCUCUGGGAACAUUUCUACGGUGUCGUUCUAUAGCCGAUAUUUCAAGCCGCAAAUAGGCGCGAAAUUUAAAACGUUCGGAACGAAAAUCGCUAUCGUCGAUCGUGUUCGAUUGAACGCUUAUUGCAAUAUUUUUCUGAUUGAUUAUUCGCGAUUUAUAACAUUCGCUUAAUAGAUUAUUAAAUGCACUCACACUCUGGUUUCAAUUUCGAUGAAUGCUUAUUAUUGGUAAAUCAAUGACCCAUUAUGAGGAUUAGACUAAGCUAACGGUUAUUCUAUAUUGUCUCGAUGAAUUUCUCAGGAAACAUGGCUCAUUCUUUUAACGAUAAAUCUUCUAAUGAUGCUGGCUGUGAUUGAUGAGGAAAUCGAUGACGAUCGAGAUAUCGUGAUAUCGUACAAUGUUCCUCGCGGUAUUUACGAUUUCGUUGGCACGCGCAGACACCUGCAGAUUGCGCUCUUCACUGUAAUCUUGAUUAUUAACCCUUUAUUGUCUUUUGUUACAGGAGAACUGUUCGUUAAUCUUAAUCGUUUAGGCUGAUAUCGAAUUCAUAAUGAUAUGUACUGUACGUAUAAUACACUUUCUACAUAUCUAAAAAACAAUUUUUAUCAUCAAAAAUGUGACAUCUUUGUCACAUUUCCAAAUUUUAUCUUGCAAAUAAAUUGAAGUUUCAUUAUAUUUUAUUUAUUCCCAAAUAAAACAACGAAUUGAUUAUGCAAUUUCGUAAUUGCCUAGUUUUCAGAUUACCACCAAGUUCUCCUUCCGAAAUUUCCAUCAGCGAAUCGUCAGACAACGAAGGGUUACACGAAUUCUGUUAGAGAAUUCGUGAUUCUAAAGAACUUACACUCUGAAACUGAUACUUACUCUCACACAUACACUCGGAAAACUUAUUUUAGGCGGUAUCUAAACUGGCAUCAAGAUACUUUACACGAAUGUACAAAAGUCUCCCUACACCGUAAUCGGAAUGUAUGUACCAUUAAUCGUUCGUUCUUUUUUUUUUUGUUGCCUGUCCCUAUGCGCUACCUACGUGCUAAAUUAAUUAGAAAAAGAAGGUUUGUCUAGAAUUUGGAAUCGUUGGUUUCUUGCGUCGAAACUGGAAUGUAAGAUGCUACUGUAAGCGGUGUAAUACGACAGAGAAACGAAGGGCGAUCGGCGAAUCGUUGAUGGAUGAAUUUAAACAUUUCAUAAAUGGCAAAAAUGACAGAAGAUUGGGUAAUUUUUGCUACGAGAAUUUCCUGGAAAUAUGACGAGUUAAGUCUUUCGUUUCACUUCGUUGAAAACGUGUUUCUUUGAGAUCAAAGAAAUUUCUUAUAUCGAGAACAAAAUAGGUCUUCAAGUCUAACGUAUUCAAGUGAAGUAAUUACUAAAUUGAUAUUAUUAUUAACCGCAAUCGUAAUUCAAGAAUUAUUUUUAAUUUAUCCUUGUAAAGGAAGAACUACAGAUUUUGGAUACAUUUUCAAAUAAUCUAUAUACUUGCUUCGUUUCUUCUACUUUUUCUGAUUUUAAACUAUCUAAAGUCUCCACUUCCAUACGUACUUUAUCGUAUUAUCCCCUUUUUCAUUUUCAAGAUACAAAAAUAGAAAGCUAGAACGUUCUACUCUAAAAGCAUCGAAGUGUAAUCUUGAACAUCUUUGGAAUGAAAAUAAUACAAGAAAAGACAUGUAUUUUACACGCAAUAAAUUGUUUGAUACGUAUAUAAUCUGUUUUCUCUCUUGAUAUCGUCAUAUGUAUCUUUGAAAGAAAGAUUUAUGUUUUGCUUCAGAUGAAUAAUCCUGUUUGUUUCUACCAUCCACGAAGAAGGGUUUCGUACGAGUGGUAAGCCGUAGCCGUUAUUCACAAUCAACGAUCCGCCGUUUUUCAAUGAAACUGAAACGCCACGUCGUCUCUGAGAUGGCACUCGCCGUAAGCAGCUUACACAAAUCGCUCCAUCCUCCUUAAAACAACGGAGCUACGGAUGAAAGCGACGAUCGAGGCUUUCGUAGAGAUCGAUACGGCCGCGUUCGUCCAUUUAACUCCGAAUAAAAUUCAACAACCUAUCCCCUUUUGACACGCUUUUCGCUGUCAUUGAUGCAUUGACGCGUAUUCGCCGCCACUUAAACGUUAGGCUUAAAUUAUACAGUGUUUAUCGAACAAUAGAUCGUGUCGAUUCGUAAGUACUUGCGCAAUGUUAUACGUAAUCAUUAUAUCUAAUUAAUCGAAUCUUUAACACAACGAUUCUACAAACUAGCUUUACUAUCAAGGAACGGAGUAUCGCUUGUAAUUAUUCCAAAGAUUGAGACUUCUAUGUUUUGGAAUGUUCACGAGUCUCUCUCUCUCUCUCUCUUUUGGCGCAUUUAUAUUGUGAAAAUAUAAAAUGUGUGGGGAGAAAAAUAUGUAUUGGGAAGUUAUUCUUAGUUCCUAGUUGCAAGCAUAAAACUUUGAACUAUAUUUUAAUUGAGAAUAUGUACUGUACUUUAUUACUGAGUAUAUUAAGAUGUUUUAGGAAUAAUAAUAACUCUUUCGAGCUUCUAAAUUCAAUUUUAUUAUUUUCAAUUGCUCCUUAUUUUUAUUUCAUUGUCUCUAAAAAUUCUGUCGUUUCUCAUUUAACGUAAAAAUUGUCUAGGUCCUAGAAUCAAAAUACAAUCAGUCAGCAACCAUCCAGAUAAUUACAAGCGACGCCACGAGUAUCCAAUCUCUCAAGAAACGACAACCACAUAAACGCGUGAGUCCAUCAACGAAAGUAAAAAGAGAAGAGAACAACUAUCCAUUUAAACACUGCCCAAUAGCAGAGGAGGAAGAUUAAAAAGUCGUAGGUUCCUUCGUGUACUUUUCGUCCAUCGGUAAGCUUUCAAUUCUUCAAUGCCAGCGAAAACGAGCCUCGAGCGUGUGUAUCGACACUCGAUCACUCUUCGAGUGUCCCAACUCUCUCAUUGUACACCAGGUUACAGCUUAUCCAUGAGACUAUAUCCCUCUUCGAUCACUCCUUAAAACGACGUUUCUAUUGCACUUCGUCCGUCUUACAGUUAAAGGUUAGA